GCACACAAUGGGUCAGGAAAUGCGUUGUUUUUCUGAAAAACUAAAGCUGAUGACUGUCAUAUCAUGAGUCACUUUAGCAUCAUGAGACUGCUGUUUGAUAAAUUCAGAAACAAACCAAAAAGCAAGCCAUGCAAAAAUAAAAAAAAAACUAUUUAAUGAUGCUCUCUCCACACUGGGAUAAAUAAUAAGAAACGGAUCACGUCUAAUGUGGACAUAUCAGACACCUUGUGAAACACUAAAGGAAAAAUUCAGUUUCGAGCUAUGGCACUUGCCGCAUAGAUGUGGGGGGCCUUGCACCAAUAGUAAUAGUUACCACUGCAUCUAGAAAUUUAAAGCAUUCAUGCAGACAAGGAUGAUUCUUUAUAUUUUUGGCUACCACUUCAAAUGCCUCCACUAAGUGUUACAAUGCUGCACGCAGCCAUACUAAGGAUUUCACAGCAACACUUGCAGGUAAACAGCAAAAGCAGUCAAAGUGCUGGUGUAUUCUGGACACUGUCUUUGAAAACUUUUAGGCAAGAACAGUGCAAGAAACAGACAUAAGAACUGCAUUUAUUUCUAUAAUUCCCCAUUUGAAUGGCCUUUUCUUUUUCCUUCGACAAUGCGUUCGCCUAGCCACAGCAGCUCCCUCAUACAGACUCCGCAAGCCAAGAGGCCGUGGAGGCAAAUGCAGACAGCCAGCACACCUCGAACAGCCACCUUGACUGCGGGUGUGUCACCCUAGUCGCCAAGGAAACAUUUGAGGGAAAGCGACAGGCAAUGUGAACAGCCACUUCUCCAUGUAAACGAUACUCUUUCUCUCGGAUGACUCCUACGUUCGCCACGCCAGCACACUUGUGCACAAAGAUGCCGCGGAGGCACGUGCAGGUCAGAGGCCAGAAGUAGUGGCACUGGUGUCGACAUUCGCCCAAUUUCUUUUUCUUACACUGAGGCAGCCAGCACACCUCGAACAGCCACCUUGACUGUGAGUGUGUCAGUAGAUUCCUGUUGUACAUAUGCUCAUAAUAAACUUCAGUAAAUUUGAACUUGAUAAUAAACUUGAAGGCAAAUGGGA
rnacentral:lncRNA from 1 species